GCAAGUCGAGCGAACAGAGUUGGAGCGUGCGCCUUUGAUUUUUCGGCGGAGGGGUUUUUGACACGUGGAUAACCUACCUAUAAGUCUGGGUUAUCUUCGGAGGGGCAUAACAGAGAAAGUAACAUAUUGAACCGCAGGUUCAAUAGUGAAAGGCGGCUUUGCUGUCACUUAUAGAUGGAUCCGCGCCGUAUUAGCUAGUUGGUAAGGUAACGGCUUACCAAGGCAACGAUACGUAGCCGACCUGAGAGGGUGAUCGGCCACACUGGAACUGAGACACGGUCCAGACUCCUACGGGAGGCAGCAGUAGGGAAUCUUCCGCAAUGGGCGAAAGCCUGACGGAGCAACGCCGCGUGAGUGAUGAAGGUCUUCGGAUCGUAAAACUCUGUUAUCAGGGAAGAACAAAUGUGUAAGUAACUGUGCACAUCUUGACGGUACCUGAUCAGAAAGCCACGGCUAACUACGUGCCAGCAGCCGCGGUAAUACGUAGGUGGCAAGCGUUAUCCGGAAUUAUUGGGCGUAAAGCGCGCGUAGGCGGUUUUUUAAGUCUGAUGUGAAAGCCCACGGCUCAACCGUGGAGGGUCAUUGGAAACUGGAAAACUUGAGUGCAGAAGAGGAAAGUGGAAUUCCAUGUGUAGCGGUGAAAUGCGCAGAGAUAUGGAGGAACACCAGUGGCGAAGGCGACUUUCUGGUCUGUAACUGACGCUGAUGUGCGAAAGCGUGGGGAUCAAAACAGGAUUAGAUACCCUGGUAGUCCACGCCGUAAACGAUGAGUGCUAAGUGUUAGGGGGUUUCCGCCCCUUAGUGCUGCAGCUAACGCAUUAAGCACUCCGCCUGGGGAGUACGACCGCAAGGUUGAAACUCAAAGGAAUUGACGGGGACCCGCACAAGCGGUGGAGCAUGUGGUUUAAUUCGAAGCAACGCGAAGAACCUUACCAAAUCUUGACAUCCUUUGACCGCUCUAGAGAUAGAGUCUUCCCCUUCGGGGGACAAAGUGACAGGUGGUGCAUGGUUGUCGUCAGCUCGUGUCGUGAGAUGUUGGGUUAAGUCCCGCAACGAGCGCAACCCUUAAGCUUAGUUGCCAUCAUUAAGUUGGGCACUCUAAGUUGACUGCCGGUGACAAACCGGAGGAAGGUGGGGAUGACGUCAAAUCAUCAUGCCCCUUAUGAUUUGGGCUACACACGUGCUACAAUGGACAAUACAAAGGGCAGCUAAACCGCGAGGUCAAGCAAAUCCCAUAAAGUUGUUCUCAGUUCGGAUUGUAGUCUGCAACUCGACUACAUGAAGCUGGAAUCGCUAGUAAUCGUAGAUCAGCAUGCUACGGUGAAUACGUUCCCGGGUCUUGUACACACCGCCCGUCACACCACGAGAGUUUGUAACCACCC
rnacentral:rRNA from 1 species